rnacentral:rRNA from 1 species
CAGUCGCCGCGGGAAUACAGAGGGUGCGAGCGUUAAUCGGAUUUACUGGGCGUAAAGCGUGCGUAGGCGGCUUCUUAAGUCGGAUGUGAAAUCCCUGAGCUUAACUUAGGAAUUGCAUUCGAUACUGGGAAGCUAGAGUAUGGGAGAGGAUGGUAGAAUUCCAGGUGUAGCGGUGAAAUGCGUAGAGAUCUGGAGGAAUACCGAUGGCGAAGGCAGCCAUCUGGCCUAAUACUGACGCUGAGGUACGAAAGCAUGGGGAGCAAACAGGAUUAGAUACCCCCGGUAGUCCCUGUCUCUUAUA